UGGCGCACAAGCUUGAAGUGUCUCUGUUUGUUAUAGUCUUUUUUUUAAAAAUUUUUGGUGAAGUUCAAGUAUAAUCCAUAAAAAGUGUUUCUAUUAGUUAUUUUAAUAUCUCGUUUUCAAUAAUCAUUUAUUUUUCGAUUUUAUAUUUUAAUAAAAUAUUAUAUAUUUUAAAUUCUUACAUUCAAAUUUCACGAAGAUAGAAAAAGAGAUAGAUAGCAUCGCGAAAAUGAUUAGCAUCAGAAAAUAGCUCAAUAAAAUAAGAGACAAACUUUGAAAGUUAAUUGCGUCGUAUGUGUUCCGAAAAACCGCGGUCUUCGUUGGCAAUGGCACCCGUUCACAGCUGUGUCGGCGUCGCGCGCAUCUCAUUUGACUCGUUCCGCGACAGCAGAAAUCAAGAUGGCGCUCCUCUGUUUGCGGAUAGUUCUGCGACGAAUAUAAAUACGUGAAAAAAACAGUGCGAGAAACGGUUACAACGUAUUGAACAGAUUGUGACGAUUGGUAUAUGCGUAUGAUAUAGUGACAAUCGAUUGGUAACGUGUCGCGAUAACUGUAAAGCAAGGUAGCCGGGUAAGCCGCUGCGGUAUUUCGAACAUCGGCGAAGGUGCUGUCGGUGCCCACCUGAGGAAUGCCAGAUUAUCCUCACUACGGUAACUCGCUCGGCAGGGGGAUGCUAAUCGCGUGACGGAUCGCGUGCAAGUU